AAACAGAAAAAAGGAGGAGGAGCUGCCAGCAUCAGCGUUUCCCUCAAGCAUCAUAAUACCCUCCUCCUUUCGCCGGCACAUUAUUAACCCAAAAUGUAUGCAUUAUGUUUCUGUAUGUAUUUUCAUUACCACCACGCGUGCAAUUAUUAAUAUUUUAUGCACUCUUCCUUUCCAGGAGCCAGGAUCCCUGUCACACCGCCAGGAUUCCCACACCUUCGGGCACCCUCGGGGAAGUCAGACGUCUCAUCAGCACAAUGGAGCAGACAGGAAGUAAGCGACAGACAAGCGGUGAAUGGUCCGGGAAAUGGGGUGUUCGUGGGAGGCUUGGGUGGUCGGCGACAUUCCCUUCCAGCCACCUGUUCGCCCCUCUAAGCGUAAACACACGUUAAAUACACUAAAUGAAACAAAGACAAAGACGCCGAAGGAAAAGCCGAGCAGGCAGGAAGCCAGCAAGCGUUGAGCAACCCGGAAAAAAAAGACUGAGCGACAGACUCUCAGCUGCCCUGGAGCAACAAUCGAUUCGAGCUUGGCCUUUUUUAUUCCUAAUUGUAGUUUGGUUUUUUAUUAAAUAUGCAAAUAUUCUUUAACAUGCCGAAAUGGUUAGGCUUCAUAAACAACAAAUUUCAGAUACAAAAGACUGUGUUUAUUGUUUUUUCCACAUCAAUACAAUAAAAAUAUGUUAAGAAUUUCACAAAUAUUGAAUGUUAUGGUCCAAUACAAUGGUCAUUAAUAAAGUGAUCCUUGUAGAGGACUUUAAAUAGUUUGCUUUUAGUUUUUUACCAAAUACCUCUUGUCCAUCAACUCAGUUGCGUUUUCCCGAGUGGAAAAUGCUUUCUUUAUAAGUUUAAAAAAUAUAGUAC